rnacentral:rRNA from 1 species
GCCCUUACUGCUCAGUAACACGUGGUCAAUCUACCGCAAAGUGGCGCAUAAUCCCGGGAAACUGACCGUAAUUCGCCAUAGGCUAUGGCAUCUGGAAGGAGCCAUAGCUUAAAGGAGCGCAAAUUGCAGCGCCACCGCCCCGCGAUGAGACUGCGUCGGAUCAGGCUGUUGGCGGGGUAACGGCCCACCAAACCGAUAACCCGUAGGGGAUGUGAGAGCAUAGGCCUCGAGAAGGGCACUGAGACAAGGGCCCUAGCGCUACGGCGUGCAGCAGGCGCGCAAACUCCACAAUGCGCGGAAGCGUGAUGGGGGGAAUCUGAGCGGUUCACUUCGGUGAACCUUUUGCCAAGUCCAGUAAGCUUGGCGAAUAAGUGCUGGGCAAGACCGGUGGCAGCCGCCACGGUAAUACCGGCAGCACAAGUGGUGUCCACGAUUAUUGGGCUUAAAGCGCUCGUAGCUUGCCUAUGCCGUCUCAUGUGAAAUAUUGGAGCUCAACUUCAAUGCGUGCAUGAGAUACCCAUAGGCUAGGGAGUGGGUGAGGUCAGGAGUACUUAUGGGGGAGGGGUAAAAUCCUGUAAUCCUAUAAGGACUAACGGUGGCGAAGGCGCCUGACUAGAACACAUCCGACAGUGAGGAGCGAAGGCUAGGAGAACGAAUCGGAUCAGAUACCCGAGUAGCCCUAGCAGUAAAUUAUGCAGACUCUGGUGUUACACGCAUCUCGGAUGCGUGUAGUACCGUAGCGAAAGUGUUAAGUCUGCCGCCUGGGGAGUACGGUCGCAAGAUUGAAACUUAAAGGAAUUGGCGGGGGAGCACAAGGGC